rnacentral:rRNA from 1 species
UACGUAGGGUGCGAGCGUUAAUCGGAAUUACUGGGCGUAAAGCGUGCGCAGGCGGUUUUGUAAGCCAGAUGUGAAAGCCCCGGGCUCAACCUGGGAAUGGCAUUUGGGACUGCAAGGCUUGAGUGCGGCAGAGGAGACUGGAAUUCCUGGUGUAGCGGUGGAAUGCGCAGAUAUCAGGAGGAACACCGGUGGCGAAGGCGGAUCUCUGGGCCUUACCUGACGCUGAGGCGCGAAAGCUAGGGGAGCGAACAGG